CCUACCAUAGUGGGUAUAUUACUUCUUAAAAAUCCCUAUGGCUUGUUUUUUUAUAUAAUAAUUGAAUUCUAUACAUUAACUUUAUUGAACAAAGUACAAGUUUUUAAAUUUACGCUUAGAAUUAUUGCCUUAAAAUAUAUUACUAACCGACUUUACGACUACGAAAACGAAGUUACUCAGAAGUUUAAAGAAGAUUAAUAAUGAACUAGUGCCUAGUGGCUACUACACUAUCUAGCCAUUCAUUUGUACCCUUAUAGCUUAAUAUGUCUAGAAUCCCAUUUGCUUUUGAAUAAUAAUGCUUUCAAAAAUAUUACCACAAAAAAAACAAACGCAAAGAAAGUUUUUGAUCCAUAAUUUCGCUAUUCAAAACAACGAGUAUUCGAAUUUCACUGAAAAAAUCCUAUUGAUUUUGUUUU